GUGGGUAUCUACCUUCCGAUUCGGGAUAGCCGUGGGAAACUGCGGGUAAUACCGGAUAAUGUCUCCGGACCAAAGGUGUGAUUCCGUCAGAAGAUGAGCCCGCGUCCUAUCAGCUUGUUGGCGGGGUAAUGGCCCACCAAGGCAACGACGGGUACUAGGUGUGAGAGCACGACCCAGCUCACUGGGACUGAGACACUGCCCAGACACCUACGGGUGGCUGCAGUCGAGGAUCUUCGGCAAUGGGCGAAAGCCUGACCGAGCGACGCCGCGUGUGGGAUGAAGGCCUUCGGGUUGUAAACCGCUGUCAGAGGGGAGGAAAUGGCUGGGGGUACUCCCCCAGUCUUGACCUAUCCUCAGAGGAAGUACGGGCUAAGUUCGUGCCAGCAGCCGCGGUAAGACGAACCGUACGAACGUUAUUCGGAAUUACUGGGCUUAAAGGGUGCGUAGGCGGUGCAGAAAGUUGGGUGUGAAAUCCCCUGGCUUAACCAGGGAAUUGCGCUCAAAACUACUGUGCUA
rnacentral:rRNA from 1 species